rnacentral:rRNA from 1 species
GAAGCCGGCCACAAGAUGAGUCAUCCCUUAGACUUCGAGUCUACUAAAGGGUCGUUGGAGACCACAACGUUGAUAGGUGAGGUGUGGAAGCGUGGUGACACGUUAAGCUAACUCAUACUAAUUGCCCGAGAGGCUUAACCAU